UACAGAGGGGGCAAGCGUUGUUCGGAAUUACUGGGCGUAAAGGGCGCGUAGGCGGCCUUCUAAGUCGAACGUGAAAUCCCCGGGCUCAACCCGGGAACUGCGUCCGAUACUGGAAGGCUUGAAUCCGGGAGAGGGAUGCGGAAUUCCAGGUGUAGAGGUGAAAUUCGUAGAUAUCGGGAGGAACACCGGUGGCGAAGGCGGCGAUCUGGGUAGAUACUGACGCUGAGGUGCGAAAGCGUGGGGAGCAAACAGG
rnacentral:rRNA from 1 species